AGGAGGGAAAAAAAAAAAAAAAAUACCACACUAAUAUCCUUCUGAAAAAGGAAGCAUGUAGAGUUGGGAUAUUCAUAAUCUUCCCUUGAUUUAUUGUGAUGAAAGACUAUCAAAUAAGCAGCUAUUGACUGUAUUAUGACUAAAUUUUGGAUACAACUAAAUGGGGAUGAACAAUCAGUCUGUUUGGUUCAGAACCAAACCAAACCAAUCAAACUAAAUAGAACAAAUCAUUUGAAUUAUAUAAAACCAAAAAGCAACUAUUUUAGUAAAAACUAAACAGAAUUAUUUCAAUUACGAGGCAAUACAGAGCAUGGCAGAAUUCAAAAUUGUUGCAAAUAAACAAUAUCAAUCCUUUUCCUUUUCUCUCAAUUCUCAGUCUAAAAUCACAAUCUCGAUCCUCAAAAUCAAAAUAAAGAAAUUAAUUAUAAGAUAAAACAAUAAACAAAUCUGAUUAAUAAUCAAAUAAAUAUCAUUAACCAUGGUUACAAAUGCUUAAAAUCAACAGUUAAUUACCUAAUUUUACAAUCACCCAAACACUCACAACCUUAAUUAACCAUGGUUAUACAUACUCAAAAUCAGGUGUUCAUCCAUGAUACUUCAAUACUCAUAGGUCACAGCUUACACAACCAAGCACGAAGGCAGGAAUGGGCAGAUGGCAAUGAUGGCAAUAUGAUGGUGGCGAGGUUGCAUGCAAGAGUGGUGACUAGAGAUGAAAAUGAACUUUAGAAGGUUUGCAUUCACAGUUUCACGCUAAAUCAGAGGGCUUCCACUAGCAAGGGGUUUAAUCAAGAGCAGAGCUCCAGAGUGCCAAGAUUGCUUAGUCUCAUCUCUCUAGCUCUCUUGAUGGAAUUUUGGGCUUUUGGCACAUGAGAGCUGGAGCGAGGAGGAAGGGACAACGGUAACAGCUGAACCGCCAGUAAGGUGAAAGGGACUAAGGGCAACAAACAGAAUCAAGGAAGAAAAAGCGAAGGCUUGAUUGAGAGAGAAGAGUGAGGGAGAAAGUAUGGAGGAAUAGAUUGAGAGAGGGUCAAAGAGACAAUAGUCAGAAAGGAGAGAAAAAUUAGGAUAAAUUUCAACAAUUAUCACUGAACUUAUAUAUUUGUAACACUUCAGUCCUUUAAAAUCACUCUAACUUUAAACCACUGAUUUUUCAGUUAGAAACUAA
rnacentral:misc_RNA from 1 species